GGGGGGGAGGUUCCGGAAUUAUUGGGGCGUAAGAGCUCGUAGGCGGUUUGUCGCGUCUGUCGUGAAAGUCCGGGGCUUAACCCCGGAUCUGCGGUGGGUACGGGCAGACUAGAGUGCAGUAGGGGAGACUGGAAUUCCUGGUGUAGCGGUGGAAUGCGCAGAUAUCAGGAGGAACACCGAUGGCGAAGGCAGGUCUCUGGGCUGUAACUGACGCUGAGGAGCGAAAGCAUGGGGAGCGAACAGGAUUAGAUACCCUGGUAGUCCAUGCCGUAAACGUUGGGCACUAGGUGUGGGGACCAUUCCACGGUUUCCGCGCCGCAGCUAACGCAUUAAGUGCCCCGCCUGGGGAGUACGGCCGCAAGGCUAAAACUCAAAGGAAUUGACGGGGGCCCGCACAAGCGGCGGAGCAUGCGGAUUAAUUCGAUGCAACGCGAAGAACCUUACCAAGGCUUGACAUGUUCUCGAUCGCCGUAGAGAUACGGUUUCCCCUUUGGGGCGGGUUCACAGGUGGUGCAUGGUUGUCGUCAGCUCGUGUCGUGAGAUGUUGGGUUAAGUCCCGCAACGAGCGCAACCCUCGUUCCAUGUUGCCAGCACGUCGUGGUGGGGACUCAUGGGAGACUGCCGGGGUCAACUCGGAGGAAGGUGAGGACGACGUCAAAUCAUCAUGCCCCUUAUGUCUUGGGCUUCACGCAUGCUACAAUGGCCGGUACAAUGGGUUGCGAUACUGUGAGGUGGAGCUAAUCCCAAAAAGCCGGUCUCAGUUCGGAUUGGGGUCUGCAACUCGACCCCAUGAAGUCGGAGUCGCUAGUAAUCGCAGAUCAGCAACGCUGCGGUGAAUACGUUCCCGGGCCUUGUA
rnacentral:rRNA from 1 species